UUUUUGGAGAGUUUGAUCCUGGCUCAGGACGAACGCUGGCGGCGUGCCUAAUACAUGCAAGUCGAGCGGACAGAU
rnacentral:rRNA from 1 species